CCUACGGGAGGCAGCAGUGAGGAAUAUUGGUCAAUGGUCGGGAGACUGAACCAGCCAAGCCGCGUGCGGGAGGAAGGUACAGAGUAUCGUAAACCUCUUUUGUCAGGGAACAAAGACUGGGACGCGUCCCCGGAUGAGAGUACCGUACGAAAAAGCAUCGGCUAACUCCGUGCCAGCAGCCGCGGUAAUACGGAGGAUGCGAGCGUUAUCCGGAUUUAUUGGGGUUAAAGGGUGCGGAGGCGGUUCGUUAAGUCAGCGGUGAAAGCCCGGGGCUCAACCCCGGCCCCGCCUUUGAGACUGGCAGGCUCGAGGUGAGGUGCGGUAUGCGGAAUGCACGGUGUAGCGGUGAAAUGCAUAGAUAUCGCACAGAACUCCGAUUGCGAAGGCAGCAUGCCAGCUCCACACUGACGCUGAGGCACGAAAGCGUGGGUAUCGAACAGGAUUAGAUACCCGUGUAGUC
rnacentral:rRNA from 1 species